rnacentral:sRNA from 1 species
GCUCCAAAGCUCACCAGUACCGGAACCACCAUCGUCGCCGUUGCCUUCAAGGGCGGACUUGUGAUGGGAGCUGAUUCCCGUGCCACCGCCGGAAAUAUCAUCGCCGAUAAGCAUUGCGAGAAGG